CAGGGCCCGGCUCCUCAGGCGGCAAGGUGCUCCAGCGUGAAGGUGCUCCGGCGUGCCCCUGCUGAUCUCCUGCUCGUGGAACAACUGCAUCAGCAGGAACACAUGCUGCAUCUGGUUUUGGUUCCCCUCCCUCCCACAAUUGCAUCUUCAGAACACCUGCAUCACACACAUACACACAGUGCUCAGGGUUCAUAAAAAGGGGAACACCGCACCCCGCACACACCGCCGACCGAAUUCCCACCGUACUGCCUGGGCAGCGGUGUCGCCGUCAUGCGUGGGGAAACCAGCAAUGUACCAAGGUCAAGUGCACCGAGCUCGUCCAUUGUGGUUUAGACCAGCUUUUGCCUUUCCUUGAAUGCUCUUGUUCAUAUUUAUGCAUGUUUCCUGAUUCCCCUUUUCUCAUCUGUGAUGUGAUGCUCAUACGAAAAGGAAGAGUAAGAAGAAAUCUAUGAAAGAUGGUAAAUUGGCAAUAGAAGAACAUGUAGGUGUAGAAGCUGGUUGAUGCUGGCACUUGGACUCUUAUCUCAGAGUAAAUUAGCUUCAGAUAUCAGAAUAGUACUGGUUCAGAAAUCAGAAUAACUACUAUCUGGGUGCAACUUGCUGGCAGGGCAGUUAAAUUAGAUAUCUUAUUUUUCAUUGUAUCUUGCUUAUUACUUUUACAAAUUAGUGUUCAAGACAAUCUUCUGUUGUUGCAUUCCAGCAAGUUAGCUUACAGCCGAAGAUAGUUUAUCCAAUCCAAAUGAUGUAGGUCGAACAAAACUUAUGGCUGGGGUAAAAAUAUUUGUGGUGAUCAGCAUCUUCCUCUCGCUUCGCUGUUAAGAUGUCGACGCGGCGCUACGCAACGAAUGAUUUAUACUACUACCAUGUUUUUUAUGUUGGGUCUGAGAAACUAGAGAAUUCAUGCCUCUUUGCCAUGCCAAGAGUAUUCUAGGGAUUUCUUAUGAAUAUACUGUAUGUAAUAUGGGAUGGCUAUUUUCAUUAAGAGAUCAAUUUUUAUGCAGGUUUAUCUACACUCUUCUCAGCCUGGGAAUUAUCAUGUGCUUGCUGACCUGCUCGGGCCACAUCGCCGCUGAAACUGCAAACAGCCCCUGCCUGUCUUGUCACGUGAUCUUUGUAUUCUUGCUUGUGAUACUGGAAGCUGCAAUCGCCGCCGGUGUAUUUCUGAAUAGCUACUGGGAGGAGGACAAAUCCCACCAGACUUGGCUCUAAUUGAAGUUAUCAUAAGAGUAAGCAAUCAUCACUUGUUGUUCUGUUUUCUGAUUCUAUAGAGAAAGCUCAAAAUUUGCAGUGUAAGAUCAAACUUUUGCUCGCAGAAUAUUGAAUGUGCGCUAAAAAGUAUGUAGAUUUACUCAUGAGGGCAGAAUCCUGUGAAUUUCUUUUGAAUCGAUUGCUCAAUUAGGAAUAAUAACAUACAUGAUUUACGCAUGUGUGGACUUGGAACUUAUGGUCCUUUUGUUUGCGAACUAUUGUUGCAUAUGUACGCAUGUGUGGACUUUCGUUGGAUAUAUAUUGCUUGCUGGAUCUAUAUAUUGCUCGAUAUAUAUUGUUGGUCAUUUUGCUUGCUGGAUAUAUAUUGUUGGUCAUUUUGUUUGCUGGAUCAAUAUAUUGCUGGAUAUAUAUUGUUGGUCAUUUUGCUUGCUGGAUCGAUCAAUAUAUUGCUGGAUAUAUAAGCCAUCUUGCUGCUGCUCGCUGAAGCAUGCAGGAAAAAAAAAUGCUAUUUGGCAUAUAAACCGUGUGUCCCAGGGACAUGGCACCCGGCUUAUAGGCAUAUUAUGCCACGGGGAGCUGUAUAAGCCGAGUGUUCCUGAUGCAGGCACCCGGCUUAUAGGAUAUGUUUAACAGUGGAUGUCCUAUAAGCCGUGUACAAAGGCACCCGGCUUAUAUUUAAACCGUGCAGCUCGUGCGGACACAAGGUUUAUAUUUAAACCGUGUGGCUCCCUUAGCUAGGCACUCGGUUUAUGUUUAAACCGUGUAGUGCUCGUGGGCACUCGGUUUAUAUAUAAACCGUGUGGCUCAUGUAGGCACUCGGUUUAUAUUUAAAUCAUGCGGCUCUAUUAGGCACUCGGUUUAUAUUUAAACCGUGUAGCGCUCGAGGGCACUCGGUUUAUACUGACGAUAACACGUGGCCGUUAUCUCCCGGCUGCCGUCAUGUUACUUUAGUAAGCCGAGAGCCUCGUAUAAACACACGGCUUUUAAGUAAACCGAGUGUUUUCCCACUGGCACUCGGCUUAUAGCGUAUAAGCCGAUCAAGUGUAAACCGUGUCAUAUAAGCCGGGAGUUUGACUCGGCUUAUAUAUAAACCGAGUUUAUAUCGACAUAAGCCGAGUUCUUUGGGUACACGGCUUUAAAGUUUUUUCCUGUAGUGUCUCCAGCCAAUUCGCUAGUUGGUACUACUUGUUGAUCAUGCCAAGAACUUCAUUAUUUUUCUUCUCACCAAAAUCGGUCAACAGUCGACAGCGCGGCGCUAUAAAACUCCAUGAUAUAUAAAACUCCACAAGCUUGAAAGCUAUACGCCAUGCAUGUAAUCUCUCUCAACUAUCUCCAACAUAUGGAUCGGAAGGAGUACCUCAUUAAGAGCUUCAUACUAGAAGCACAUAUCCUAUGGUAGUACCAUUAUUUCUAAUAGGAAGAUUCCAACACUUGAUAAGACACAUGAGUACCUAAAUAAGUCAUUCCAGCAAUAAAGAAGAUUCCAACACUUGAUAGGAGAUUUCAUUAUUAAGAACAGAUUUCAACACUUAAUAAGACAAUUUCUCAAUAAAAAAUUUCAACACUUAAACAUACCUACAAGAAGAGAUAUUUUUAUGCUUCUUAUAUUCAUGGAUAUUAUUUUGUUGAUAUGAUUACUUCAUCGUUUCUCAAUAUUUAUACCGUCAAAUAGGUUACAUGAUACACAUGUUGGGUAGCAUUUCACAUAAAAAAAUCUAUUUUUAUCAUUUACCUACUCGAGUACGAGCAAGAAUUAAGUUUGGGGAUGCUUGAUACGUCUUCAACGUAUCUAUAAUUUAUUAUUCGAUGCUAUUAUAUUAUCAAUCUUGGAUGUUUUAUAUGCUAUUAUAUAUUAUUUUUUGGGACUAACCUAUUAACCCAGUGCCUAGUGUCAGUUGCUGUUUUUUUUUGCCUAUUUUUGAUUUUCUAGAAAAUCAGCAGCAAACUGAGUCCAAAUGCUAUGAAACUUCGUGAUAAUUUUUUUCUGGACAAGAGAGAUCCUAGAAGCUUCAGGAUGAGACCAGAAGGCAAACGAGGAGACAACAAGGCAACAGGGCGCGCCCUGGGCGAACGAACUUCAUGAGUUGCAUGAACUCAAUUUGAGAUGAAUCCAAAACCAUAUGUGAGAGUAAACAUUGUGCUGGCAAGUGGCAACACGUGAGCUCAGUGGCGGAGCCAGGAAUAAAGCAAACCUCGGACCUAGUUUUUUUUCAA